UGUGGAGGACGGGAAUGAAGAUGGCGCUGCCCGGUCUCCAGCCGAGGUGCUGAGAGCUUGGGCCACACUCCUCAGUGCGCCCUCAGAGAAAAGCCGUCAGUCCCUCCCGUCUCCCUGGUCUCCGGCCGCGCUCCGAGCUCACCUGGGCUGUGACCGAGCGUUUCUGUCUCUGUCGCACGGCCCCGUUUGGAGUUUCCACACCCAGCAAGAUUCCUUCACUGCACUUCCCAGAGAAGACAGACAUUACAAGUGUUGUGGUCCAUUAUCAAAGGAACGAGACUGA
rnacentral:lncRNA from 1 species